GAAUCCCGUCUUUGGCACGGAUGCCUGGUGCUUCUGUGAUGCGCUCUCGAAGAGUCGAGUUGUUUGGGAAUGCAGCUCAAAAUGGGUGGUGAACUCCAUCUAAAGCUAAAUAUUGGCGAGAGACCGAUAGCGAACAAGUACCGUGAGGGAAAGAUGAAAAGCACUUUGGAAAGAGAGUGAAACAGUACGUGAAAUUGUUGAAAGGGAAACGCUUGAAGUCAGUCGCGUCGACCGAGACUCAGCCUUGCCUUGGCUUGGUGUACUUCUCGGCCUGACGGGUCAGCAUCAAUUUUGCCCUUUGGAUAAUGGCAGGGGAAAGGUGGCACCUUUACGGGUGUGUUAUAGUCUCUUGUCGCAUGCGAGGGGUGGGAUUGAGGAACUCAGCGCGCACCUCAGUGUCGGGGCUUCGGCCCACGUCACGCGCUUAGGAUGCUGGCGUAAUGGCUUUAAACGACCCGUCUUGAAACACGGACCAAGGAGUCCAACACGCCCGCGAGUGUUCGGGUGGAAAACCCGUGCGCGUAAUGAAAGUGAAAGUUGGGACCUCUGUCGUGGAGGGCACCGACGCCCGGACCGGACCUUCUGUGACGGAUCUGCGGUAGAGCGUGUGUGUUGGGACCCGAAAGAUGGUGAACUAUGCCUGAAUAGGGUGAAGCCAGAGGAAACUCUGGUGGAGGCUCGUAGCGAUUCUGACGUGCAAAUCGAUCGUCAAAUUUGGGUAUAGGGGCGAAAGACUAAUCGAACCAUCUAGUAGCUGGUUCCUGCC
rnacentral:rRNA from 1 species